CAACAAUUGGAGGGAAAGAUGUAAGGGAUUGUGUCCACAAAAUUCUUGACAGGCUCUUUACCAACCAGCUAAUGGCAAAAUUCAAUAUGAAGGGGAAGGGGAAGAAGCAGAAACUGCCUCUGGAGAAGACUACAACUUUUAAAGCAAUUAAAGCUGCAGUCAUGAAAUGGGAUAAAGAAGCUACAGAGGCUACAAUCAAGCAUCACGCAGCAGAACAUCUCAAACAUGCACUGGGGAGGAAGGGAGGUGGAGGGCAUACAGGGGUGGAAAGUAACUAGGAAUUUUGCAUGAGUACUAUAAAGGCUGUUUUAUGGUUCUGCGGAGACUCCACGCAG